CCGGGAGAUUCGGGCAUUGUUGGCGUCUUGUAACCAGUAUGCUGAACAGAAAUAAAGAAGUUCCUGAGAACUACAACUGCUUCUCGUGUCAUUGCCAUUUCGCGAAGGACGCAACACUAGUCAACUAAAAAUCCUGACAUGACCUAAAUAUUGUUUAUCGGGAAGUUCUUUUCUAUUCCAAUUUCUUCAUCCAGGAAGCUGAGUAAGCUAACAUUAUUCAGAGACUGGAUGAUCUAAAAGAGGCACUGACAACAACCCAAUUCACAACAAAGCCUCUAUUUAAAUUGGCUUCACCAAAUACUUAAACUUGUGACAAUAGAGUUACCCAACAAUCUACUAUUUCCUCAAUAACAAAAAAAAGUAUUGUCACGCAGGCUACAGCAGAAAGACAAACUGUUCCAUUGUACAGUGUCCUUUAAGCAUGCAGAUUCUAAGGAUACAACUUAUCUACCACCUUUACUAGAGUCAGAAGUGCCUUUAACAUCUCCUUACAAGAUGACCCCCAACUGUAUCCCCCCCAAAACUGACAUAAAUUUAUAUGGGUGAUAGUUGGGGAUUCUGCUGAGAUAAUUGCUACAGGUGAAGACUCUCUGACCCAGCUAUCAGACGGCGACCAGAGGCAGAGACGUGCCUCAGUCCCCACACAAACAGUGGGGUUACCCUUGCUGUUGUGGAUGAUGUCCCCAUAGUCUCUCAAAACUUGCCUAAUUCCUGGUUAAACGCAUCUAAUAACCAACAAUAUUUAGUUUUCGGUGACAACAUCACCCAUCAUAACUCUCUUCCACCAAGUGCACCUACUGAGAACGUGGAAGGCCAGACUGUUCUGAUAUGAUUUUGUUUCUUUGUUGUAUUCCUCAUUUCCUCUGAUUUCACUGGUUUAUUCCAUAUAUAAAACUACCUGAUUGAAUACUUGUUUCUUCUGAUGUAGGCCAUAUCCAUUAUGAUUUAGGGUAGAUACUUCUUGACUUUUGACACAAAAUUUAAAAACCUCAACCCUUGAAUUUUACUUAUAUUGUAACUAAUUAUACAAACUAAGACUUCCUAGAAAUGUUUUUAUCAUGAAAAUGAUCAUCUUCAACCUAUUAAAAGAGAAGGUGAGAGUUUAUUUAGUUAAUUGGUGGCAAUGUACAACUGAUUAGAAAUCCCUAAUUCGUAAAACCCAGCGGAUUGCAUAAAUUAUGAAAAACUAGAUUUUUUACAGGCCAUUUCCUCGGAUUCCCAACAUUGCAACUUUUCUAAACUGGAAGCCUACAUUUCCCAAACAGCAGUUCUUCCCCGAGGGUCUACUUCCGCCUAAAGAGCAAUGCUUUCUGGGACAUGUAGUCUGUGCGUAUGUAUCAAAUGAGACGGCCGCAACGUCGGAUUCCCACCAGAUGAUGGUAACAUAAUGUACUGUACUAUUUGGGCAUGCAAAUUUGGUUUCCCUUUCCGGAAGCAGCGCCUCUGGGGGGAUGAGUAACGGGAGCCGGAGUGGGUCAAAUGAAUCCGGUGGUACCGAGAAUCGUCUAAAAUAGUAAAAAAAAAUCACUUUUAUUUUGCAAGUCAAGGGAUUUGAAGUUUUGAUCAUCUGGAGACUGAGCUGGGGGCAACGUGUAGCAAUGGAGCAAAGGCGAAGGAAUUCGUGUGUGAGUGAACGGGUUUAACUCAGGGCUGUGUAUCUGUGUAUUACUUUCUCCAAUUCGAGAUUUGGACACUAGACAGUUUAGCUGAGGAAUCUGAUCCAGCAAAUACGAGAAGUGAGGACUUUUGUUAUUCAAGGCUUAUUAAGAAUUCUCCAUUUUGCACAACUGGAAACAUUACGCUUGAAACCCGUCUAAGGAAUGAUGAAAUCAGG